rnacentral:rRNA from 1 species
CCUACGGGUGGCUGCAGUGGGGAAUAUUGGACAAUGGGCGAAAGCCUGAUCCAGCCAUGCCGCGUGUGUGAAGAAGGCCUUCGGGUUGUAAAGCACUUUCAGUGGGGAAGAAAGCCUUGGGGCUAAUACCCUCGAGGAAGGACAUCACCCACAGAAGAAGCAACGGCUAACUCCGUGCCAGCAGCCGCGGUAAGACGGAGGGUGCGAGCGUUAAUCGGAAUUACUGGGCGUAAAGCGCGCGUAGGCGGUCUGAUAAGCCGGUUGUGAAAGCCCCGGGCUCAACCUGGGAACGGCAUCCGGAACUGUCAGGCUAGAGUGCAGGAGAGGAAGGUAGAAUUCCCGGUGUAGCGGUGAAAUGCGUAGAGAUCGGGAGGAAUACCAGUGGCGAAGGCGGCCUUCUGGACUGACACUGACGCUGAGGUGCGAAAGCGUGGGUAGCAAACAGGAUUAGAUACCCUAGUAGUC